UGUCACUACAGACUCAGUGGGUCGUCGCCCUCACACCUUCUCUGUGAAGCUGCUCACUGACAGCUGACAGCAGAUGAAAAUAACAACUGCUGGUCACUUUUUGCGAAAAAAGGAAGUUGAUGGCAUGUCAGUAGUUUUGUUUGCCAGAGAUUGUACUGCUGGCAACCAUGGCAGCAAGUUUGGAGAUUUCUUGACAAUUGCAACAAUACUGGGAACUGGAAUCUUAGGUCUUCCAGUGACAAUAGCCCACGCUGGACUGGUGCCUUUCCUUGUCUCGUUUCUUGUUGGCUUCUUUGUUCAGGCCUUGCUUAUCUACCUGUUUGUCGAACUUCUUCAGAAAUGUCAGGUGGUGCAGCUGGAAUCUCUGAAGACAGGUGUUGCAGAGUGUAUUGUCAUGGAUCAGGUGGGUGUGGAGGCUCCAUCACCCACAGAGGAAGAGGACGAGGAUGAUUCGAGUGAAAAUGCAGAAGCAGACACAGGUCUACUUCAGCCUGAUGCAGUAUCUUUGCACAACCAAGCAGAGAACCUGGAGCCCAACCUUCAUCUGCUCGGCCACCUCUUCCUCUCCCGGCCAAUGAGUCAUGCCUUCAACUGCAUCCUCCUCUUCCAGUUUAUUUCUAUUGGAAUAAGUUAUGUCUUAGCCGGCAGUGAGGCCUACGCUGCUCUUCUUAAUAUCAGCCACAUCUACGUCAUCCCGGUGUUCACCUGGAUCCUAACUCUUGCCAUCUUACUGGCCCACACAGUCAUCCAGCCAGUCACGUCGCUGCUCACCCUGCUGAAAGGGAUCCUGCUCAUUGUCACGGUGGCUGUGACAUUCGCGGUGGGGUCAGAGGUCGGCCUUCAAAGCAGCAGUGACUUCAGGCAGAUGGGGAAACCUUUCCUAAUGGGCACGGUGGCUCUGGGAGGGAUCGUAAACGUGAUGCCUCUGCUCUUCUCACAGAUCUCACACAACAAAACACAGAUCCUUUGGUUUCGGAGAGCAGUGCUCGGAGGUCUGACAACCUGUACUGUGCUCAACAUCCUCUGGUGCUGGGCGGUGCUGGAAAUCGUCCCCCAGACGUCGUUAUCAGAAAGGCGGACGCCGGCUGAGACGAUGACCCAUCCCGACUCCAGCAUCCCGCCUGGUCCUCCUUCGUCCGUCUCUCCUCUGCUGUACUCCAACAUCUCACUGGAAGAGUGA
rnacentral:lncRNA from 1 species